GGAGGAAUAUUGGUCAAUGGACGAGAGUCUGAACCAGCCAAGUCGCGUGAAGGAUGACUGCCCUACGGGUUGUAAACUUCUUUUGUAUGGGAGUAAAAAAGUGGACGUGUCCAUUAUUGCAAGUACCAUACGAAUAAGCAUCGGCUAACUCCGUGCCAGCAGCCGCGGUAAUACGGAGGAUGCGAGCGUUAUCCGGAUUUAUUGGGUUUAAAGGGUGCGUAGGCGGGAUAAUAAGUCAGCGGUGAAAGUUUGAGGCUCAACCUUAAAAUUGCCGUUGAAACUGUUUUCUUGAGUAUAUUUGAAGUAGGCGGAAUUCGUGGUGUAGCGGUGAAAUGCAUAGAUAUCACGAAGAACUCCAAUUGCGAAGGCAGCUUACUAAACUAUAACUGACGCUGAAGCA
rnacentral:rRNA from 1 species